rnacentral:rRNA from 1 species
GCCAGACUCCUACGGGAGGCAGCAGUGAGGAAUAUUGGUCAAUGGGCGCGAGCCUGAACCAGCCAAGUCGCGUGAGGGAUGACGGCCCUACGGGUUGUAAACCUCUUUUGCCGGGGAGCAACGGGCGUCACGUGUGGCGCCACUGAGAGUACCCGGAGAAAAAGCAUCGGCUAACUCCGUGCCAGCAGCCGCGGUAAUACGGAGGAUGCGAGCGUUAUCCGGAUUCACUGGGUGUAAAGGGAGCGUAGACGGCGGCGCAAGUCUGGAGUGAAAGCCCGGGGCCCAACCCCGGGACUGCUCUGGAAACUGCGUCGCUGGAGUACGGGAGGGGCAGGCGGAAUUCCUGGUGUAGCGGUGAAAUGCGUAGAUAUCAGGAGGAACACCGGUGGCGAAGGCGGCCUGCUGGACUGCAACUGACGUUGAGGCCCGAAAGCGUGGGGAGCAAACAGGAUUAGAUACCCCAGUA